CUGUGAAUUUCAACUGAUUGGAACUAGGAGAUAAACAUUGACAAUACUCUAUAAUUCCAUUCUAGGACACGACUAAUUCCCAUAAGUCACAUUUUUAAGUCUUUUUGUUAAAAAGUUUUUAUUAAGUUAUCUUUUUUUCUGCAAAUCCGAGCCGACCUCUUCAAAUCAUUUGAAAGUGCGCCGUCUGGAUCGUGAUGUGCCGCGUCUGCCCCUCUAGAUGUCAGUCAAACCUAAAACAUGGCUGACGUCACGCUGGAAAAGAACCGGAAAGGCGACUUCAUCACGUUCAAAAGGAUUUUCUGGUAAAGGGGAGAAUUCACGGUUCCAUCAAUCACAGCAAGUCGUCCAGGUCCUGAAGUAGGAAAGCACCCCAAGACCAUCAGACUACCACCAUGUUUGACUGUUGAAAAGAAGUCUGGGACAGCUCCAACGGACCUCUGAACCCUUUGGAUGCCUUCACCAUAACGCUUCAUGUAGUCUCCGAGACCUGUGGAAGGAUGCCGCAUCAGGGAUGGACUGCAAAUAAGGCCCAACAACACGUGAAUGUGCCAACAUGACCACGGCGGGACAACAUUUAAGCGAGUGACGCACUGCCCCGCAUUCUCAUCGUGGCUACCAAUCCAGACGAACCUGUCGGUUCACCCCGUCGAGAACAGCCAAAGAACCCGAAGCGAUCGUUCCGGUCAGGCAAGUACAAUCUCUUGCGACAAUGUCAAAGAUAUUAAUGUUUGAUUGCGUGUCAAUUGGAAAAGCCGCCACUGUCAAACAGC